AAUUCUUUUCCAACUUUUUCUGUUUCCGUUUCCUAAUCAUCACUUUGAGUUUUCUUUAAAACCAUUUGAUUUUUAUUGUGGUUACUUAAUUGUCUCAGUUAUUGGCAGUGUUUAAUUUCAAAUCUCUUUUUCUUCAAAUUAAUCAUGCGAGCUAAGUGGCGUAAAAAACGUAUGCGAAGGCUAAAGCGUAAACGAAGGAAGAUGCGAGAACGUUCCAAAUAAACGGUGGACUUUGGGGGAUACAAUAAUUUCAUCUUAGUUAACCAACCAAAUUAACUAAAGAAAGCUUGUAUUUCCCCAAUGUGUCUCUUCUCAGACGCCCUCGUAAUUAAUAUGAAACAAAUAAAUCACUCUUUUGAUCUUUGUUUGAAUAAAAAAACUUAUUUAAAUUUA